rnacentral:rRNA from 1 species
UUGCACGCUGGCGGCAGGCCUAACACAUGCAAGUCGAGCGGAUGAAGGGAGCUUGCUCCUGGAUUCAGCGGCGGACGGGUGAGUAAUGCCUAGGAAUCUGCCUGGUAGUGGGGGAUAACGUCCGGAAACGGGCGCUAAUACCGCAUACGUCCUGAGGGAGAAAGUGGGGGAUCUUCGGACCUCACGCUAUCAGAUGAGCCUAGGUCGGAUUAGCUAGUUGGUGGGGUAAGGGCCUACCAAGGCGACGAUCCGUAACUGGUCUGAGAGGAUGAUCAGUCACACUGGAACUGAGACACGGUCCAGACUCCUACGGGAGGCAGCAGUGGGGAAUAUUGGACAAUGGGCGAAAGCCUGAUCCAGCCAUGCCGCGUGUGUGAAGAAGGUCUUCGGAUUGUAAAGCACUUUAAGUUGGGAGGAAGGGCAGUAAGUUAAUACCUUGCUGUUUUGACGUUACCAACAGAAUAAGCACCGGCUAACUUCGUG